rnacentral:rRNA from 1 species
GACGAACCGUGCGAACGUUAUUCGGAAUCACUGGGCUUAAAGCGCGUGUAGGCGGGAGGGCACGUCCGUCGCUGAAAUCCCCCGGCUCAACCGGGGAACGGGCGCGGAUACGACCUUCCUUGAGGGGCGUAGGGGGACCUGGAACUUCCGGUGGAGCGGUGAAAUGCGUAGAGAUCCGGAGGAACACCAAAGGCGAAGGCAGUGUCCUGGGGAGUACCUGACGCUCAGGUGCGAAAGCCAGGGGAGCGAACGGG